rnacentral:sRNA from 1 species
CGUGUCAACGGUAGCGGACCGAAGAGAGCAUAAGGAGUUGACACGUUGCACAAA